UACGUAGGGUGCAAGCGUUGUCCGGAAUUAUUGGGCGUAAAGAGCUCGUAGGCGGUCUGUCGCGUCUGCUGUGAAAACUCAGGGCUUAACCCUGAGCUUGCAGUGGGUACGGGCAGACUAGAGUGCGGUAGGGGAGACUGGAAUUUACGGUGUAGCAGUGAAAUGCGUAGAGAUCGUAAGGAAGACCAGUGGCGAAGGCGGGUCUCUGGACAGUUCCUGACACUGAGGCACGAAGGCCAGGGGAGCAAACGGG
rnacentral:rRNA from 1 species